GGACUGAGACACGGCCCAGACUCCUACGGGAGGCAGCAGUGGGGAAUAUUGCACAAUGGAGGAAACUCUGAUGCAGCGACGCCGCGUGAGUGAAGAAGUAUUUCGGUAUGUAAAGCUCUAUCAGCAGGGAAGAAAAUGACGGUACCUGACUAAGAAGCACCGGCUAAAUACGUGCCAGCAGCCGCGGUAAUACGUAUGGUGCAAGCGUUAUCCGGAUUUACUGGGUGUAAAGGGAGCGUAGGUGGCAAGGCAAGCCAGAAGUGAAAACCCGGGGCUCAACCGCGGGAUUGCUUUUGGAACUGUCAUGCUAGAGUGCAGGAGGGGUGAGCGGAAUUCCUAGUGUAGCGGUGAAAUGCGUAGAUAUUAGGAGGAACACCGGAGGCGAAGGCGGCUCACUGGACUGUAACUGACACUGAGGCUCGAAAGCGUGGGGAGCAAACAGGAUUAGAUACCCUGGUAGUCCACGCGGUAAACGAUGAAUACUAGAUGUCGGGUAGCAAAGCUAUUCGGUGUCGUCGCAAACGCAAUAAGUAUUCCACCUGGGGAGUACGUUCGCAAGAAUGAAACUCAAAGGAAUUGACGGGGACCCGCACAAGCGGUGGAGCAUGUGGUUUAAUUCGAAGCAACGCGAAGAACCUUACCUGCUCUUGACAUCCCAUUCGAUAGAAGGUAAUGCUUCUAGCCCUUCGGGGGAAUGGAGACAGGUGGUGCAUGGUUGUCGUCAGCUCGUGUCGUGAGAUGUUGGGUUAAGUCCCGCAACGAGCGCAACCCUUAUUGUCAGUAGCCAGCAGGUGAAGCUGGGCACUCUGAUGAGACUGCCGGGGAUAACCCGGAGGAAGGUGGGGAUGACGUCAAAUCAUCAUGCCCCUUAUGAGCAGGGCUACACACGUGCUACAAUGGCGUAAACAGAGGGAAGCGAAGGAGUGAUCUGGAGCAAAUCUCAAAAAUAACGUCUCAGUUCGGAUUGUAGUCUGCAACUCGACUACAUGAAGCUGGAAUCGCUAGUAAUCGCAGAUCAGAAUGCUGCGGUGAAUACGUUCCCGGGUCUUGUACACACCGCCCGUCACACCAUGGGAGUCGGUAAUGCCCGAAGUCAGUGACUCAACCAUAAAGGAGAGAGCUGCCGAAGGCAGGACUGGUAACUGGGGUGAAGUCGUAACAAGGUAGCCGUAUCGGAAGGUGCGGCUG
rnacentral:rRNA from 1 species